rnacentral:snRNA from 1 species
GUAUCCUUCGGGGUUGCACACGAUAAAAUUGGAACGAUACAGAGAAGUUGGUUUCUACCGCCACAGCCAAUGAACCGCUUAGUAAUGUUUUUCCCACACCACCUAUAGCCUGCUAAUUACAUAAUCAUACUAAUCAUAGCAUGGCCCCUGCACAAGGAUGACACGCUUUUCCGGAGUGGUAGACCUACGGGUCUCAAUAUUUAU